GACCCAGUGGCGCACGGCGCGCGCCCACCUGCAUUGUCUUCUUGCAUUUGUGCACUUGCACGUGGGAGGUCCUGGUUCGACUCCAGGCUGGGUCA